rnacentral:rRNA from 2 species
AUAGGGGAGCCGGAGGGAAACCGAGUCUUAAUUGGGCGUUAAGUUGCAGGGUAUAGACCCGAAACCCGGUGAUCUAGCCAUGGGCAGGUUGAAGGUUGGGUAACACUAACUGGAGGACCGAACCGACUAAUGUUGAAAAAUUAGCGGAUGACCUGUGGCUGGGGGUGAAAGGCCAAUCAAACCGGGAGAUAGCUGGUUCUCCCCGAAAGCUAUUUAGGUAGCGCCUCGUGAACUCAUCUCCGGGGGUAGAGCACUGUUUCGGCUAGGGGGCCAUCCCGGCUUACCAACCCGAUGCAAACUGCGAAUACCGGAGAAUGUUAUCACGGGAGACACACGGCGGGUGCUAACGUCCGUCGUGAAGAGGGAAACAACCCAGACCGCCAGCUAAGGUCCCAAAGUCAUGGUUAAGUGGGAAACGAUGUGGGAAGGCCCAGACAGCCAGGAUGUUGGCUUAGAAGCAGCCAUCAUUUAAAGAAAGCGUAAUAGCUCACUGGUCGAGUCGGCCUGCGCGGAAGAUGUAACGGGGCUAAACCAUGCACCGAAGCUGCGGCAGCGAACGUAUCACCCAAGACAACUUUACGGAGUUGACGAUUGACGGAGCGAAGCGACGUCAAAGCGUUCAUUAAAGUCGAGUUGGCUUAGGGAUACGUUCGUUGGGUAGGGGAGCGUUCUGUAAGCCUGUGAAGGUGGCCUGUGAGGGUUGCUGGAGGUAUCAGAAGUGCGAAUGCUGACAUAAGUAACGAUAAAGCGGGUGAAAAGCCCGCUCGCCGGAAGACCAAGGGUUCCUGUCCAACGUUAAUCGGGGCAGGGUGAGUCGACCCCUAAGGCGAGGCCGAAAGGCGUAGUCGAUGGGAAACGGGUUAAUAUUCCCGUACUUGGUGUUACUGCGAAGGGGGGACGGAGAAGGCUAUGUUGGCCGGGCGACGGUUGUCCCGGUUUAAGCGUGUAGGCUGGUUUUCCAGGCAAAUCCGGAAAAUCAAGGCUGAGGCGUGACGACGAGGCACUACGGUGCUGAAGCAACAAAUGCCCUGCUUCCAGGAAAAGCCUCUAAGCAUCAGGUAACAUCAAAUCGUACCCCAAACCGACACAGGUGGUCAGGUAGAGAAUACCAAGGCGCUUGAGAGAACUCGGGUGAAGGAACUAGGCAAAAUGGUGCCGUAACUUCGGGAGAAGGCACGCUGACA